GACGAACGCUGGCGGCGUGCUUAACACAUGCAAGUCGAACGGAAAGGCCCUGCUUUUGUGGGGUGCUCGAGUGGCGAACGGGUGAGUAACACGUGAGUAACCUGCCCUUGACUUUGGGAUAACUUCAGGAAACUGGGGCUAAUACCGGAUAGGAGCUCCUGCUGCAUGGUGGGGGUUGGAAAGUUUCGGCGGUUGGGGAUGGACUCGCGGCUUAUCAGCUUGUUGGUGGGGUAGUGGCUUACCAAGGCUUUGACGGGUAGCCGGCCUGAGAGGGUGACCGGCCACAUUGGGACAGAGAUACGGCCCAGACUCAUACGGGAGGAAGCAGGGGGGAAUAUGGCACAAUGGGCGGAAGCCGGAUGCAGCAACGCCGCGUGCGGGAGGACGGCCUUCGGGUGGUAAACCGCUUUCGCUUGUGACGAAGCGUGAGGGAGGGUAUGGGUAAAGAAGCACCGGCUAACUACGUG
rnacentral:rRNA from 1 species